CCUACGGGUGGCAGCAGUGGGGAAUAUUGGACAAUGGGGGGAACCCUGAUCCAGCCAUGCCGCGUGUGUGAAGAAGGCCCUCGGGUUGUAAAGCACUUUCAGUGAGGAAGAACGCCUGGUGGUUAAUACCCAUCAGGAAAGACAUCACUCACAGAAGAAGCACCGGCUAACUCCGUGCCAACAGCCGCGGUAAUACGGAGGGUGCGAGCGUUAAUCGGAAUUACUGGGCGUAAAGCGCGCGUAGGUGGCUUGAUAAGCCGGUUGUGAAAGCCCCGGGCUCAACCUGGGAACGGCAUCCGGAACUGUCAAGCUAGAGUGCAGGAGAGGAAGGUAGAAUUCCCGGUGUAGCGGUGAAAUGCGUAGAGAUCGGGAGGAAUACCAGUGGCGAAGGCGACCUUCUGGACUGACACUGACACUGAGGUGCGAAAGCGUGGGUAGCAAACAGGAUUAGAUACCCCGGUAGUC
rnacentral:rRNA from 1 species